UACGGGGGGGGCAAGCGUUGUUCGGAAUUACUGGGCGUAAAGGGCUCGUAGGCGGCCAACUAAGUCAGACGUGAAAUCCCUCAGCUUAACUGGGGAACUGCGUCUGAUACUGGAUGGCUUGAGUUUGGGAGAGGGAUGCGGAAUUCCAGGUGUAGCGGUGAAAUGCGUAGAUAUGUGGAGGAACACCAGUGGCGAAGGCGACUCUUUGGCCUGUAACUGACGCUGAGGCGCGAAAGCGUGGGGAGCAAACAGG
rnacentral:rRNA from 1 species